GGUGAUAGCUCAGUGGCAGAGCAUUUCACUGCACUUGAUGUCCCCAGUUCAACUCUGGGUGUCCCCUA